AAUAAUUUUCGUUGUUUUCACAGUUUUUUACUGUUUUUCUCGACAGUUUCUUACUGUAUAAGUUGUUUACAGUUUGUUACUAUAGAUUUGUUGUUUCCACAGUAUUUUAAUGUAUUUUCAACAGUUUUUUACUGCAUAAGCUUUGUACAGUAGGCUACUGUAGUUUUCCAAUGCAUUAUGGGAAAUAUUACUCUGAAUACAGUAUUACCAACCAACUGCAAAACACAAUGACAAACGUCUAUUUAUAUCUUAAAUGCUUAAUUUUUUUGUGAGAUAUUUGGUUUAAUGUCUGUUUUCACAUCAGAUGCUCGGUGUGUUCCUUUAACAUAAAUCAGGUGCCUUUUCUGAGGCUUUAAUGAAAUCACCAGCCAAUUCAAUAGACAUACCAUCAGUUCUUAAUAUUGUUGCCUCUGUGUCACAAAAUGUAUUUUUAAGAUUAGUUUAGGCGAUAAUAUAUAUAUGUAUAAUCUUCAAAUAGCAGUCGAUUAGUUAAAAAAGCGCUAAUUUUAGAAUUUGAUUAAACAAAUGCGGAGGGUUCAAGCGCGAGUCGGUCACGUGAUGUGCUCCUCAGUUCUGUCAGUAGGGGGAGUGGGAGAACGCGUGUGUGUCGUCGUAUCUGUUCUGCUCAUCUAGCGCGUAUUUCUUUAUUAAUAUCUGCUGGGUGAAUAUUAAUACGUAUAUGCUAACAUUAAUUUUGUGACCACAAAAUGACAGAGAGCUAUUAUACGAGAUAUUGUGUCGUCGUGUUUGUCUUCACUCACUUCAUCAUUAUCUGGUAAGUGCUAUAUGCAAUAUCUGGUAUGAGACUUUAUUGGCACUAAAGGGUUCUUUCGGCUAAAUUUUACUUAAUUUCUGUCAUAACAGCAAACAACUUCUGCAACUACACAAUGAUUGUCUGCCUGUGUGCAAAAUAAAGCACGUUCACUGUGUAAAACCCCGCGCAGGGCAUUUUCAAAUUAACGGUCAGGGCGAGUCUGAGCUUAUCGUGUUGUGUUGACAGAGACUUUGCUGAGGUAAGUAAGAGAAAGAAAUUAAUGUGUUAAAUAAAUAACGUUAUAAACUUGAAUUAUGUUGUGCCAGAAUACGUUGUUUAAUGAAUAUCUGUGGAAUAGGUUUAAAAUAAUACAUUAAUGACUGAACGUGAACUUGACUGAACAUUAUGGCAGCUAGAAGUAUUGAAAAGACGUAUAAUAGAUUUAACAAUGUUUUAUCUUCUUUAUUAGUGUAUGUAAAUCUGGGCUACAGUCCACGACAAAUUUUCUACGGUAGAUUUACGCCUGCAUGCUCGUCCUCUCGUCUAUCGCGGGGAUAUCAUCACUACAGCGGACAUCGCACUGAAGAGAUCCUGUGCUUGCGUGGCGGUGUGUUUGUGUGCUCACUUGGAUUGAGACCAGCAGUGCUUUUUUAAAAGUGGGUGAGUACUAACUUAUUAUUGUGUAGUUUCAUAAAAGCCUUACUCUUUUCAGUCACAUAACUUUUGUUCAUCUGCUAAUAAUAGGACUAUCCAUACACAAAGAUGUAUUGUGGAUUUAAGUAAUAUCUGCGAAUAUUUAUGUGAAAAUGUAUUAGUGUUCUGCUGACAUGAGAUCUGAAAUUGUGUUCUAGGACCUGAUAUGGAUUAAUCCAAUGAUCAACGUUUUCCUUUGUAUCCCUGUUUUGUAUACGCUGCCAUUACAUGAUGGUCAUAUGUCCCGGAUGAUCGGGAGAAGUCACGUGGUUCAAUUAUUAUUAUUUUUUUACGUGGUUCAAUUUUUUUUCAAUUUUUUUUACCAUGCAUUUAGCAUCAGGCAAAGCCUGCAAUCAAUCUAUUAAGACAGAAACAAUAUCUUACUUAUUAUUAUGUUGUUAUGACAAUAUCAUGUGAUCAUCUGAGUUAGAACAAAAUCUAUUCAUUUUCAGGUAUUACUGUGCAAGUUCCCUGAAUCAUUCUGUUGAAAUGUUAUGUGUUUAAGAUUCUUUAUGACAUCAAGAUGUGGUUUGGGAAGGACCUUCAUCUAAAUCUGAAGACAGGACAUACUGGCUCAAAAAGCGUUUGGUCAGGAACUGCCUAUACACUUGAAAAAUGCACAGAACUGGAACAGCACAUCAGUUGGGAGCACAUUAACAAGGAUGAAAUUUAUCCAAUAAUUAUUUUAAUAUUUAUAGGUAAGCAACUACUUGCUGAGUGUAUUUAAUGAGUGUGUAUUAAUCUCUUACAGCUCCCAUACUUAGUACAGUAUAUUUUAAUCAGUGUGGCAAUAACUUGUGUUUUAUUUUUAUGUUUACACAGGUGUUUCUGAUAUGGAGAAAAACCCAGCACUGCUCAUUUUAUUUCUUCAUCUUGAGAAUACAGCAAGUUUACCUUUUGUCUGGAAAAUGAUUCAGCAAAGCUAACACCAACAACAAUUUUUCAUGGCACUUUAAACCACCUUGAUGUGAGGAGCCAGCAUCAGAAUGGAUGGUGUCAAUAUCCUGAAAGUGGAGGUAACAGAGGUGGAUCUCGAGACUUGGCCAUGUUCUAGAUUAUAACUGGAUUAUCACAAGUGCUGUCGCCCCUGCUGUAUAUGACGCCCCCACCACCUACACCAGGUGUAGGAAAUGUCGGUCCUGGAGUGCCGUUGUCCUGCAGAGUUUUGCUCCAGCUCUAAACAAACACACCUGAACAACUAGAUCUGAAGAGUCACCAGAAAACUACAGGUAGGCGAGGUUUUAUCAGGGUUGGAAAUGAAAUCUGCAGGAUUUCGGCACUCCAGGACCGACGUUGCCUACUACUGACCUACACCUUCAUCCUGCCACCACCACCCAUACUACCUACAAAAAACUGUAUUGUAAUUAUGCUUUUCACUGUAUUGUAUGAUGUGGUUUUCUCAUUUAGGGUAACUACACUAUGGCAACAAUUGGAUACAUUGAUUGCUGACUGAUUUUGUUAUUUUUUCUUUACUUUUUGUUUAAAAUCUAAUCAUUUUUUUGUUAUUUUUGUUAAUAUUGUUACAAAUAUACAGUUAAAAACUGCACAAUAAAUUGUCUGCUUUUAAAGA